AUUGAUGGUCCACGUUUUAUCUUACCUUGUUUUGAAGCUUUUGGUAAAAAGUAUCAGCUUGUAUACCGUCGCCGGCGGAUCACCCUUGAGGGAUUUAAAGUGGUCGGGAAGAGAAGUUGUUGUGAAGAUUAGUCUGUCGUUUUUACGUUGUGGCUGAUUUUUGUUGUGUUGUUCAUCUUGUUUUGGGUGAGGGACUAAGUGAUUUCUCAGGAUGUCAGAUCAAGGUGCAGCCCAUAACAAAGAAAUGAUGGGUU
rnacentral:rRNA from 1 species